UCUCCAGUGGCGCAGUCGGUUAGCGCAUGGUACUUAUAUGACAGUGUCUCGUUGUGCUCGUUAAUUGAACGAUGAUAAAGCAAUGCCGAGGUCGCGAGUUCGACCCUCGCCUGGAGAA
rnacentral:tRNA from 1 species